rnacentral:misc_RNA from 1 species
GUGAAUCAUCGAAUUUUUGAACGCAAAUUGCACUCUCCUGGAUGAGUAUGCGCGUUUGUGUGUCAGCCUCUAAAAAAUCGACAUAGUUGCUGUUUCGCGGUGGCGUUCGUCGGAAAUUGGGUCAUAUUAAAUCCUUUUGAUUUAAGCGACUUAAAAUUUUCUUUUGGUUUCAUGAACGUUUCUAUGAUCUAUUUCUUUACACGUGUAAGGUAUCGAUUUCUACUAGCCGUUAUCAUCAUAUCGGAUCGCG